GACGAACGCUGGCGGCGUGCUUAACACAUGCAAGUCGAACGGUGAAGCGCCUUCCUUUUUGGUGGGUGUGGAUGAGUGGCGAAGGGGAGAGACACGCGAGAGUAACGUGCCCCCUUCUUGUGGAAAACCGCAAGAGAGUGGGGCUAAUGGGGGAUAUUGUGGGUCUGGCGCGUGGGGGGUGGGGGAGAGAUAGUGUUUGUGGGGGGUGGGGGCUCGCGGUCUAUGAGCUUGUGGGUGGGGUGGGGGCCUACCAAGGCGGUGACGGGUAGCCGGCCUGAGAGGGUGGACGGUCACACUGGGACUGAGACACGGCCCAGACUCCUACGGGAGGCAGCAGUGGGGAAUAUUGCACAAUGGGCGCAAGCCUGAUGCAGCGACGCCGCGUGAGGGAUGGAGGCCUUCGGGUUGUGAACCUCUUUCGCCAGUGAAGCAGGCCUGCCUCGUUUGUGGGUGGGUUGACGGUAGCUGGAUAAGAAGCGCCGGCUAACUACGUG
rnacentral:rRNA from 1 species